GGUCACAGAGCUGGUGAGCACUAAUUUUUUGCAUUGGGGGAUGUGGUGGCUACUG
rnacentral:tRNA from 1 species